rnacentral:rRNA from 1 species
UUCUUUCCUCCCGAGUGCUUGCACUCAAUUGGAAGAGGAGUGGCGGACUGGGUGAGUAACACGUGGGUAACCUACCCAUCAGAGGGGGAUAACACUUGGAAACAGGUGCUAAUACCGCAUAACAGUUUAUGCCGCAUGGCAUAAGAGUGAAAGGCGCUUUCGGGUGUCGCUGAUGGAUGGACCCGCGGUGCAUUAGCUAGUUGGUGAGGUAACGGCUCACCAAGGCCACGAUGCAUAGCCGACCUGAGAGGGUGAUCGGCCACACUGGGACUGAGACACGGCCCAGACUCCUACGGGAGGCAGCAGUAGGGAAUCUUCGGCAAUGGACGAAAGUCUGACCGAGCAACGCCGCGUGAGUGAAGAAGGUUUUCGGAUCGUAAAACUCUGUUGUUAGAGAAGAACAAGGACGUUAGUAACUGAACGUCCCCUGACGGUAUCUAACCAGAAAGCCACGGCUAACUACGUGCCAGCAGCCGCGGUAAUACGUAGGUGGCAAGCGUUGUCCGGAUUUAUUGGGCGUAAAGCGAGCGCAGGCGGUUUCUUAAGUCUGAUGUGAAAGCCCCCGGCUCAACCG